GAUGAACGCUGGCUACAGGCUUAACACAUGCAAGUCGAGGGGAAACGACGGGGAAGCUUGCUUCCCCGGGCGUCGACCGGCGCACGGGUGAGUAACGCGUAUCCAACCUGCCUCUGACUGAGGGAUAACCCGUCGAAAGUCGGCCUAAUACCUCAUGGCAUCGUCUGCGGGCAUCCAACGACGAUUAAAGAUUUCAUCGGUCAGAGAUGGGGAUGCGUCUGAUUAGCUUGUUGGCGGGGUAACGGCCCACCAAGGCGACGAUCAGUAGGGGUUCUGAGAGGAAGGUCCCCCACAUUGGAACUGAGACACGGUCCAAACUCCUACGGGAGGCAGCAGUGAGGAAUAUUGGUCAAUGGGCGAGAGCCUGAACCAGCCAAGUAGCGUGCAGGAUGACGGCCCUAUGGGUUGUAAACUGCUUUUAUGCGGGGAUAAAGUGAGGGACGUGCCCUUCAUUGCAGGUACCGCAUGAAUAAGGACCGGCUAAUUCCGUG
rnacentral:rRNA from 1 species